rnacentral:rRNA from 1 species
GAUUAUAUGCUUGUCUCAAAGAUUAAGCCAUGCAUGUCUCAGUACAAGCCGCAAUAAGGUGAAACCGCGAAAGGCUCAUUAAAUCAGUUAUGGUUCCUUAGAUCGUACCCACAGUUACUUGGAUAACUGUGGUAAUUCUAGAGCUAAUACAUGCACACAGAGUCCCGGCCGGAGACGGCCGGGGUGCUUUUAUUAGAUCAAGACCGAUCGGCGGUACGCGUUCGCGCGUGCCGUCGUACACCCUCGUGGUGACUCUGGAUAACUUCUUGCUGAUCGCGCGGUCUCGUACCGGCGACGCAUCUUUCAAAUGUCUGCCUUAUCAACUGUCGAUGGUAGGUUCUGCGCCUACCAUGGUUGUAACGGGUAACGGGGAAUCAGGGUUCGAUUCCGGAGAGGGAGCCUGAGAAACGGCUACCACAUCCAAGGAAGGCAGCAGGCGCGCAAAUUACCCAUUCCCGGCACGGGGAGGUAGUGACGAAAAAUAACGAUACGGGACUCAUCCGAGGCCCCGUAAUCGGAAUGAGUACAGUCUAAACCUCUUCGCGAGGAUCAAUUGGAGGGCAAGUCUGGUGCCAGCAGCCGCGGUAACUCCAGCUCCAAUAGCGUAU